UACGGAGGGGGCAAGCGUUGUUCGGAGUUACUGGGCGUAAAGCGCGCGUAGGCGGUGCGGUAAGUCAGGGGUUAAAGGCUGCAGCUCAACUGCAGUAAGGCCUUUGAUACUAUCGCGCUAGAGUACCAGAGAGGAUGGCGGAAUUCCUGGUGUAGCGGUGAAAUGCGUAGAUAUCGGGAGGAACACCAGUAGCGAAGGCGGCCAUCUGGCUGGUAACUGACGCUGAGGUGCGAGAGCGUGGGGAGCAAACAGG
rnacentral:rRNA from 1 species